GCAGGCUGGAGCCCCUGGUCUGGAGCAAGCUGAAUACAGAUGAUUGAAGCAUGAGACGCAUGUUCGAGAAGCCAUGAUUAUUUCUGUCCUUGUUCAGCUGUUCAAGCUCCAGAACAAUUGUUGCAUAUCUCCGCUGAAAUUCAAUGCUGAUGGGCAUGGAAUAUGAUUUCUGAGAAGAGAAAAAAAUCAGAUCUUGUUAUCUCAGAAGAGGAUAUAUUAAUAGGAACUUCCAAAACUAAAAAACAAAGAGAACAAAGACUGAAAAAAUCAGCACAGAAUGUCCAAGGAUUGUGGGACAACUACAAAAGGUAUAACUUAUGCAUUAAUGGAAAUACAAGGAGAGGAAAGAGAGAAAAAAAGGAAGAACUAUCUGAAAUAUAAUGAAUGAGAAUUUCCCCAAUUUAAUGUCAAAUACCAAAGCAAAGAUCUAAGAAUCUCAGAGAAUACCAAGCAGAAGAAACACCACAAAAACCUCUAGAUUUACACAUAUCAUAUUCAAACUACAGAAAAUCCAAGAUAAAGAAAAAUUCUGGUCCAGCUAUGGUGGCUCACACCUCU
rnacentral:lncRNA from 1 species